ACUGGGAUAACUAUUGGAAACAAUAGCUAAUACCGGAUAUAGUUAUUUAUCGCAUGAUGAGUAAUAGAAAGGAGCUUCACAGCUUCACUUAAAAAUGGGGGUGCGGAACAUUAGUUAGUUGGUAGGGUAAUGGCCUACCAAGACGAUGAUGUUUAGCCGGGCCGAGAGGCUGUACGGCCACACUGGGACUGAGAUACGGCCCAGACUCCUACGGGAGGCAGCAGUAAGGAAUUUUCCACAAUGAGCGAAAGCUUGAUGGAGCGACACAGCGUGCAGGAUGAAGUUCUUCGGAAUGUAAACUGCUGUUAUAAGGGAAGAAAAAAUAGAAUAGGAAAUGAUUUUAUCUUGACGGUACCUUAUUAGAAAGCGACGGCAAACUAUGUGCCAGCAGCCGCGGUAAUACAUAGGUCGCAAGCGUUAUCCGGAAUUAUUGGGCGUAAAGCGUCCGUAGGUUUUUUGCUAAGUCUGGAGUUAAAUGCUGAAGCUCAACUUCAGUCCGCUUUGGAUACUGGCAAAAUAGAAUUAUAAAGAGGUUAGCGGAAUUCCUAGUGAAGCGGUGGAAUGCGUAGAUAUUAGGAAGAACACCAAUAGGCGAAGGCAGCUAACUGGUUAUAUAUUGACACUAAGGGACGAAAGCGUGGGGAGCAAACAGGAUUAGAUACCCUGGUAGUCCACGCCGUAAACGAUGAUC
rnacentral:rRNA from 2 species